rnacentral:rRNA from 1 species
AGCAGCCGCCGCGGGAAUACGUAGGGUGCGAGCGUUAAUCGGAAUUACUGGGCGUAAAGCGUGCGCAGGCGGUUAUAUAAGACAGAUGUGAAAUCCCCGGGCUCAACCUGGGACCUGCAUUUGUGACUGUAUAGCUAGAGUACGGUAGAGGGGGAUGGAAUUCCGCGUGUAGCAGUGAAAUGCGUAGAUAUGCGGAGGAACACCGAUGGCGAAGGCAAUCCCCUGGACCUGUACUGACGCUCAUGCACGAAAGUGUGGGGAGCAAACAGGAUUAGAUACCCCCGUAGUCCCUGUCUCUUAUAC